rnacentral:rRNA from 1 species
AAAGUCGUAAGCAAGGUUUCAGUAGGUGAACCUGCGGAAGGAUCAUUA